GGCGGAAAAAACGCAGCGCUCCCACCAGCAGGCGGUGGGGGAAGGGAAGCACGUGUAACCGGGGCAGGGUUGCAUCAUGAGCUCGCUCGGGUUUUCUAUUGCACCCUUGGUUUUUCGAUUGCAUGUAAUACCUCAGCAUCAGUCUGCACGAGCCCAGGGAGCCCGGGAGCAACGACGGGCAGGCUCCAGGAAAGGCCCCACCACGUCCUUUUGGGGGGUCUUGAAUGGCAACUGACACAUAAUAAGACACAAUCUAUUCUGCUGAUUCACAAUUAUGGAGACUGUGUAACUGAAGACAGAAAACAGACCUAAAAAUAAACCACGGAAGGAAGAAGGGACUUGCCUACAUUUGGCUCUGAACUUUAGCAUCAUAGAACUUCAAAAAGGUGACUCAGAGGAGGUUGACGAGCGUACACCUAGAGGAGAAGAGAAUUUCCCCAACACGUCGCACUCUACCAGGAAGGCCGCCCUUGACGUUCCUAGGAAAGGAGUA